rnacentral:rRNA from 1 species
CAGCAGCCACGGUAAUACGUAGGUGGCAAGCGUUGUCCGGAAUUAUUGGGCGUAAAGGGCUCGCAGGCGGUUUCUUAAGUCUGAUGUGAAAGCCCCCGGCUCAACCGGGGAGGGUCAUUGGAAACUGGGAAACUUGAGUGCAGAAGAGGAGAGUGGAAUUCCACGUGUAGCGGUGAAAUGCGUAGAGAUGUGGAGGAACACCAGUGGCGAAGACGACUCUCUGGUCUGUAACUGACGCUGAGGAGCGAAAGCGUGGGGAGCGAACAGGAUUAGAUACCCCUGUAGUCCCUGUCUCUUAUAC